rnacentral:misc_RNA from 1 species
GGGACACUGCUGGCCAAGAAAGGUAUAGGGCAGUGACAAGUGCAUACUAUAGAGGUGCAGUUGGAGCAAUGUUAGUUUAUGACAUGACAAAGCGCCAAUCUUUCGAUCAUAUGGCAAGGUGGCUAGAGGAAUUGAGGGGACAUGCUGAUAAGAACAUUGUAGUAAUGCUAAUUGGCAACAAGUGUGACUUAGGAAGUCUUCGAGCGGUGCCUGUAGAAGAUGCCCAAGAGUUUGCACAAAGAGAAAAUCUAUUCUUUAUGGAGACAUCAGCUCUUGAAGCAACCAAUGUUGAAACUGCUUUUUUGACAGUACUAACUGAGAUUUAUCGAGUUAUUAGCAAGAAAACUCUUUCUGCUAAUGAUGAGCAUGAUGCUAAUGGGACUUCAGGCCUUCUAAAGGGAACCAGGAUCAUUGUUCCAGUCCAGGAUCAAAAUCUUGGAAAGAAAGGUGGUUGUUGCUUUUCAUCAAGCUAAUUCUAACUUACCAAUUUUGUUUUUCCUUCUGAAAUUGUUCUUUAUUUAAUUAGGAUCUACUGUUUCGAACAAAUUCAUGAUGUAUUGUUUAGAAUGUGGGUAUCGAUGUUGUUGGAUGAUAGGUUAAGGCUGUCUAUAUGUUAUUCACAUUGAAUUAGAUCAUCGUAAUUCGUGGAAAGUCAUUAC